UACGUAGGGUGCGAGCGUUAAUCGGAAUUACUGGGCGUAAAGCGUGCGCAGGCGGUCCGCAAAGUCUGAUGUGAAAGCCCCGGGCUCAACCUGGGAACUGCAUUGGAAACUAACGGGCUCGAGUGUGGCAGAGGGAUGUGGAAUUCCAGGUGUAGCGGUGAAAUGCGUAGAUAUCUGGAGGAACACCGGUGGCGAAGGCGACAUCCUGGACCAACACUGACGCUGAGUGAGCGAAAGCCAGGGGAGCAAACGGG
rnacentral:rRNA from 1 species